UACAGAGGGCCCAAGCGUUGUUCGGAUUCAUUGGGCGUAAAGGGUGCGUAGGUGGCGCUGUAAGUCGGGUGUGAAAUUUCGGAGCUUAACUCCGAAACUGCAUUCGAUACUGCGGUGCUUGAGGACUGGAGAGGAGACUGGAAUUUACGGUGUAGCGGUGAAAUGCGUAGAUAUCAGGAAGAACACCAAUGGCGAAGGCAGCUCUCUGGGACGGUACUGACGCUGAGACGCGAAAGCGUGGGGAGCGAACAGG
rnacentral:rRNA from 1 species